AGGUUUCGCCUUAACAGGCACUUCCAAUCAACUCAGCCGGAUCGUUUCGAUCCGGCUUUUUUGUUGCCCGAU
rnacentral:misc_RNA from 1 species